rnacentral:rRNA from 1 species
AUUGAACGCUGGCGGCAGGCCUAACACAUGCAAGUCGAGCGGAUGAGAGGAGCUUGCUUCUCGAUUCAGCGGCGGACGGGUGAGUAAUGCCUAGGAAUCUGCCUGGUAGUGGGGGACCACGUUUCGAAAGGAACGCUAAUACCGCAUACGUCCUACGGGAGAAAGCAGGGGACCUUCGGGCCUUGCGCUAUCAGAUGAGCCUAGGUCGGAUUAGCUAGUUGGUGAGGUAAUGGCUCACCAAGGCGACGAUCCCUAACUGGUCUGAGAGGAUGAUCAGUCACACUGGAACUGAGACACGGUCCAGACUCCUACGGGAGGCAGCAGUGGGGAAUAUUGGACAAUGGGCGAAAGCCUGAUCCAGCCAUGCCGCGUGUGUGAAGAAGGUCUUCGGAUUGUAAAGCACUUUAAGUUGGGAGGAAGGGUUGUAGAUUAAUACUCUGCAAUUUUGACGUUACCGACAGAAUAAGCACCGGCUAACUCUGUGCCAGCAGCCGCCGCAGUAA